rnacentral:rRNA from 1 species
GUGAGUAACACGUGGAUAACCUACCUAUAAAACUGAGAUAACUUCGGGAAACCGGAGCUAAUACCGGAUAAUAUUUUGAACCGCAUGGUUCAAAAGUGAAAGACGGUCUUGCUGUCACUUAUAGAUGGAUCCGCGCUGCAUUAGCUAGUUGGUAAGGUAACGGCUUACCAAGGCAACGAUGCAUAGCCGACCUGAGAGGGUGAUCGGCCACACUGGAACUGAGACACGGUCCAG